AGGAAAUGCUGUCACCGCCGUUAACAAGCACGUGGAGGUUUGUUAAAGGUAGUGGGAGGCAUGGUUCUUAGUCAGCCAAGGAUACAGGGAACAGGUGCGGUGCCUGCAAACUGACUUCCAGCUGUGAAUGUACAGCUGAGAAGUAGGAAACCCUGGCAAUGCUCCUUCCAGCUUUGAUCUGCCUGGGGCAGCCCGUGGUGGAGAUGACUCUGUAGCCCUGGUGUCUACCAGCAUCUGGAGUGGGGGCCACAAGAGCCAUGUAGACAGGCACCUAGCACUAUGCCAGCACUUCACAUUUAAGAAGAGACUUCCUGAAUUUCAGUGGAGUCAACGCAGACUUCUGAUGUUAGAACUGCUAAGACUUCGGAGACUCUGAGAGAUGUUAUAUUGCCAGAGCUCUGAGGAAAAGCUGUUGGCAGUGCAGGUGGCUGGUGACAAGGACAGAGUGUGGGGCCUGGAGAAAGGACGGCAGGCAGAACGGAAGCCUCAGCGCUCAGCAGAGCUGCGGUCCUGGUUGCUCUGAGGGAGGAAUCUAGACUAGAGCGGAAGAUACAUACUCACGUGCCCACAUGUGCACACAAAAUGAAGGAAGCAGCAGGAAAACCAUAUGCAGAGGUGCAAAGAAGCAAAGCUAUAGCUCACACGUGUAAUCCCAGCACUGAGGCUGGAGCAGGCGGAUUCCACAUUUGAGACCAGCUUGGGCUGUGCAGUGAGGUCAGGACUACUUGGCCUAACACCUGAAGAGGCCCCAGGGCAGAAACCAUUUCCUGCCCACCCCAAAUGAUGGUGACUCCAGCUUCCCAUCAGACCUGGUGAUGAUCUGCCCCAGUUUCACAAGCAAGCCAAAAGGGCCCCUGAAAGAGAAAAGAUAAAGGAGAAACGGGCAGGCUGGCUGGCCAGGAAGCAACACAGUGCCUUCAGUGGUCACCAGGCCCCAAGCCUGCAAGAUGCUGCAGAACAAAGGUGAUCCUGCAGAUGCUGCCGACUGUGAGAGCAGAGGAAAGCUCUGUGCACAGAGCACACAUAGAUUCUAUUCUAGGACAUUAGACACGGAUCUCUGUGAAAUCAUUGCAGUUAUGAAGGAUCAACUACAGGUGGGACACAAGGACUGAACUCAGGUCAUCAGACCUGGCAGCAGGUAUCUUUACCCAUUGGGCCUUCUCAGUGAUCCUGGCCCAAAGUCUAAGUCAAAUCUAAGUACCAUCUAUGAGGUAUCAGCAGGGACGUCAGACUUGGGGCGCAUCCCCUCAGAGCAGCGGGGUGCCCAGGGAAGAUCCAGUUAUGGACAGAUCCUACUUAGUAUUCUUUGGCAGAAAGCCUGUGUCCUUAUCAGUCCAGCUUAGGAGCUCAUAAUGGUGUUAAAGCGGCUUUUUUUUUCCCCUGUGGCUGUUGGUUUUAACCAAGGAGGCAAUCUCUGGACAACCAAGUAGAAGGACUUCAAUUAAGAUAGUUCAUCACCUCAGGCAAAGCCAAUUCAUGUUAAUUGGUAUUGAUGUCUGUCUGGUCACUAGAAACCAAGCAAACUGGCACUUGGGAGGCUGAGGCUGAAGCACAGAGAUCUCAAGUUCAAGGCCUACACCGAUUAUAGGACGAAUGCAUGCCAGCCAGGGCUCCAUGGCAAGACCUUGUCCCAACACCCUACCACCUAAAUAAGAAACCACUGGAACACUGACAUAAGCCCUACUGGAAGGUUCUGAGAUCUGCUCCAUUCCUUGUCCUUAAGAAUUUAAAAGAAAACAAGACACUGCAGUUAUAUUCAUCACUCCGGACAAUGGACUUCUUUGUGUCAAUAAUGGAAAAUACUACUGUGGUCUGGGCUCCGUCAUUCCCUCUACCAGUUCACUGUGUGCUGGCUCACCCUAACCUUUCUAGCCCUAAAAAUCCCAUCCAAGACAGCUCUAUGAUGACCAUACAGCUCAGCCAGAGAGGUGCUUGUCUAACAUUUGUGGCAAUCUAGAUUCAACCUUCAUCACCACAGAGGGUAGGGGUCAACUCAGGGCUUUGUCCUCUGGAAUGCCCAGGACCUUCUAGGGCACAGUAUGAAACAGCUGUAGUCUGUUCCUGCCAGUACACACUGAAACGAUAAUCAUCCUUUCUGCAAUGAAAUCUGUAUAAAGGGGACUUUGGGCCAAUUCGUGGCUCAUAGACCACUGCUGUGGUCUGCUUCUCUCCUCUCUUACAGGCCUCCUCAGGCCUAAACUUAUUCUGAUAUGUAAUGAUCCAGUAACCUCCUAAAAAUGGGGAGAAAAACCAAACGGAGUCCCCCUGGAUCAAGUUAAUUAUGAAACGACUAAACAUGAAAAGACUAUUAGAAUCAAAACCAAGGAAUGUAGUGAGGACAGGUUUCUCAAUUUGCCCAGAGCAGAAGACACUUCCUUUUGUACUAAAAUUAGAAAGGCACUAAGAAAGAAAGAAACCUAAGAAGGAGAGGAAGCUGAGCACCAUUAAGCCAGCAACGCGGAUGAAGAGAGCGAGCAUCUAUUUUAUUUCUUAGCGCCUACACUUUCUUGGAAUUCCAGUGCAUUUCUGCCCAACCCCGCCCCGCAAGGGGCAUCGGGCCACAGUCUGGAAGCUCCGUCAACAAGUUCUCAAACUUCUAAAAUUCCAAGAUACCCAGCCGCAGGCUCAAGGGUCCAGGUAUAAACAUUACAAGUCGGUCUUUCGCUCAACAGUCAUCUGCCUAAGGGAGUUCCCUCCCGUCCUGACACCGUCCGGGACUGCGGUGUCCGGGCCAGCAGGCUGCAGCUCGGGCCAGCAGGGCCCAUCUGACUGGCACCACCAGGGUCUUAAGCCUUGGCUGCCCACAGGACGAGCCUGAGGGGGCGUCGGCCGCCUGCGUGGAGCAAACUCGGGCACAGGCUGAAGGCCGGGCGCGACCCAGGCCAAGGGGGGCGAGGUGGGGUACCAGGCUCGCCCCGCUGCCCACACCGCCUGCCAGCCCCGGAAGCGCCGCCCUCCCGCCCGGGGCUCCGAGGGGCGGGGAGUCUAACGCCCCCUUCCGGGUGCCUCCGCCCGGCCGGCCAGCCGCGCUCCUCCUCCGGGCGGGAAUCCUUCCUCCCCCGCCCCUCCCGUAGCCGGGCCCCGGCGCCAGUCUCAGUCCCAGGGGGGCACCCCCGGUUCCGGCCUCCCCUCCCCGAGACCUCUGCCCAUCUUCCAGACCCUUGAGGGCCGGGGAGACGCCGCCGGCAGACGCCAGGACCCACCGCUCAUUACGACAUCUUCCUCCCUGGCCUCCGCCGCCUCCGCCGCCACCGAGAGCCUGACACCGCCCGCCUAGCACCCGCCAAUCCCGGAGCCCGCCACCGCCCGAGCGACGGCAGCUCUCACCAAUAAGCGCUCGGUACAUUGGGGACCGACAGGAUUUUCAACCAAUCACUGGAAAGCAUCUAGAGUGACGUUGGUCUGGCCAAUAGAGCUAGGAAGUGUCACUGAUAGACGGUAGUAGUCACCAACCGGAAAUCAACUGAGGAAUGAACGACGUAUCCUUUAGCCAACUGGCGGGAGGCAAAGUCCCGCCUGCUAGGGGGUUGAUGGACAGCAACAGGAAGCUGGAUGAGGAGGGGCUUAGCUGAGAAGUGUUUCUGUAUUGGUCGUAAUUGACCUUCCACCCACCUCUAACCCAGCAGAUGAGUGAUAGAUCUGCCCUAAAGCCAAUCAGAAGUGCUACUGUGAAAUGCCCCAUAAAGAGCUUAUACAUCUCUCAAUUCAGUCUGGCUUGGAGAGGCUCUAGUGUAGCUGUUGGAUACGUGGUGCCCGGUGCCCGGUGAGCGCAUCGCCUUCUCUUCAACCCCUCGCCCGCCGUCGCCUGUGGAGAGUCGAUGACCAGGCGGGAGUUGGGUUACCUGGCACUUCCUAGAGGGGAUUGUCAUUAUGUCAUCUCAAGCCCCUGUUAAUCUUCACCAAUGUUUCGCAGAGCUUCCCUGAUCCACGCGGCUCCAGACAGGCGUGUCUGAGCCUUUAUCAAAAGCAGAUCCCUAAUCACAUUUGCUACUUCUCGGGGUGCCUAGAAUCUGCAUUUUAACCCGAGCCUCAAGUAGCCAGAAUUGCACGCUGGAGUCCUAGCGCCCCUGCUUGGUCUCUGCCUCAUUUCCUCCCGCAUGAGGUGCUGUACUUGACAGGCACCCCAGGUCGGUUUACCUUUCUCUUCCAGGCCCUCUGCGAACGACUAACUUGGCAGGCUGUGCGUGGCAUCAAGAGGGAAUUCACGCUGGCUUGAGACCUACAUGGGCAGGAAACCCCACACCUCACCUGCAGUGGACCCUUAGACUCCUAUUGAAGCCAGAGCACUCACACUUCUGCCUCAGAGUAGUACCCUUCCUGGGUUUUUUGUUUUGUUUUGUUGUUUUAACUCACAGUGAGGAAAAAAAAAAUGUUUUACAUCUGGUAAAGAGAUUGUAACAAAGCUUCCCAAAUCAACAUUUGAGAGACAUUGAUCGCAGGUAGAUGGGACACAUACACACAUCCCUGCUGGGGUCUUAUUUGGACCUUUUGUGGUGCUGAGGAUCAAAUCCCGGACACUAGGAAUGAACUGUAUCAUCAAGCUAUACCUCAGCUCUCAUUAAAUUUUUC